rnacentral:misc_RNA from 1 species
UUAACUUAUUAUAUGGUACUCAGACGACACGUAAAUUGGAGAGUUGUGGUUCCCCGGCGGGGGCCCGAGGGCCUCCGCCGGAGCAACAAAGGUAAAUAACACAGGGUGGGAGGUCUACCCGCGAGGGCAUGAUCUCGAUAAUGAUCCUUCCGCUGGUUCACCAACGGAAA